UCGUCUGCUGUGUUGAUACUGAACAAAAUGGCUGCAGAGGCUUGAUCCUGAUCCGACACUCUCAGCGCUUUAUCUGGACACUCCGAAUUUAUUCCUGGAUAUUUUCACUGUCGUUUUAAAAACAUCUCUGGAUUUUCCCACACAACUGCAGCCAGGCUGCUCACCGCAUCGCUAGCCAUCUUUAUUUUUUGCACUUUAAUGAAACAGCUUGCAUCGCAUAAUCUCACGUCAGUCUACCAGACAGUAGCAGCUUUAAACUGCCUUCUUCGUUUUGCACCGUAGAAGAGAUUAUAUUUCUAAUGACCAAUUUAUGCCACUGUACUUGACAAACUGCCUCUCCAUUUUAAUGUAUUCUUUUCUGUCUUUUCGCGGGUAUUUCGUAGCGUAUAUGUCAUGGAAAUGUCUGCUGUUUUUUCCAGCAUGCAUGCAUGCAUGCAUCUAUAAUCUCCAUCAGAGCCCAAAGCUCUGAGUUUGCAUAGAUUUGACGUCAGUCCUUUUCUCUUUGCAUAUUGAAUUUUGUUUUUUGUUUUUCGUAAUUGCUGCCUUUUUGGGACACUUUCGGAAGUACAGCUGCUCAUUUAGUACAGUGUUUUUUGGCUCAGUCUGUUUUUACGGGUACUUUUUUCCGCGAAAAAAACAACAACAACAACAUGCAACUGAAAGCUGCCAAAGCUCGACUUGUGAACAAAAAGAAGUCCUUUUGAGCACACAAGCCUCUGCUCACAGCCUCCACAGGUCUGGAUAUUAGCCAACCCACUCCAAAACACACUACCUUUUAAGUGUUUUUUUUUUUUUUUUUAUACCUCCCCAUCUUGCCCCAUCGGUGAAGAACGUGUGCGAAGGGAACUCGAGGGCAUGGUGGAAAAAUGAGAAGGUUUACAGAAUGUUUCUGAGAGGAUGGCUGCGGAGGGGUCCAAACUGACAUCCGAGCAGUGCAGCAUUAAAUGCAAAAAGCUGUGGAGUUAUUACUGGAAGUUGAAAGACCAAAAACCAAAAUAAUUGGAAAUGGUUUGAUAUGAUGGAUGCCAUUUAUGGACACAGACUGACGAGUUUGGGAAGAGAAGACAUCAUCGAUAUGGACACCUCUCCACUGGAGUAAAUGAUGGCGUCUGCCGGAGGAUCCACACAGAGUCUUGACAAGAGGUUGUCCACCUGUGAGAGCUCAAGCUUGAGUUUGCCUGCAUGGACAUCGACACCAAUACUGCCAGAAUCGGUUCCAUCACCUUUGAGUCUACCCUGGCAUUAACACCUCGGCCCUGGUAACGAUGCAGGCAGCUGAUUAGAGGCAGCAGGAGUGGUUGGAGGAUCGUCAUGACUGGCACUUGAGAUGAUGCUGCAGGAUGCCCGUGAGGCAAGGCAGCAUGAGGCUGAACUCACUCUGCAUCACACGGAGCAGUUUGCAAGUUUCGAUCAGCCCUUCCUCUGCACACACAGUCAGCUGGUGCAGAUGUUGAGUAGUCACCUUGAUGCUGUGCCACCAUCCAGCCACUAGUGCUUUGCACACAGCACAGGACUUUACAAAUGACACUUUUUCUUUGCACAAAACAGUUUUUCUGUUGUUGCACAGCACAUUGUAUUUCAAGCAUUUGUUUGACUGUUUUCAAAUUAAAGUAAUUUUUCCAUUA